UUCGAUCAUGGCUCAGAUUGGUGCUUGCUGGCGGGAUGUAAGCACAUGCAGUCGAACAACGCUGGACUUCGGUCUGGUGGCGAGUGGCGAACGGGUGAGUAAUGUAUCGGAACGUGCCUAGUAGCGGGGAUAACUACGCGGCGUAGCUAAUACCACAUACGCCCUUCGAGGAAAGCGGGGGACCUUCGGGCCUCCUGCACUAUUAGAGCGGCCGAUAUCGGAUUAGCUAGUUGGUGAGGUAACGGCUCACCAAGGCGACGAUCCGUAGCUGGUUUGAGAGGACGACCAGCCACACUGGGACUGAGACACAGCCCCAGACUCCUACAGGAGGCAGCAGUGGGGAAUUUUGGACAAUGGGGAAACCUGAUCCCAGCCAUCCCGCGUGUGCGAUGAAGGCCUUCGGGUUGUAAAGCACUUUUGGCAGGAAAGAAACGGCACGGGAUAAUACCCCGUGCAACUGACAGUACCUGCAGAAUAAGCACCGGCUAACUACGUGCCAACAGCCGCGGUAAUACGUAGGGUGCAAGCGUUAAUCGGAAUUACUGGGCGUAAAGCGUGCGCAGGCGGUUCGGAAGAAAGAUGUGAAAUCCCAGAGCUGCUGGAACUGCAUUUUUAACUUCCGCAGAGCUAAAGGUGUCAGAGGGAGGAGUGGAAUUCCGCGUGUAAGUGAAAUGCGUAGAUAUGCGGAGGAACACCGAUGGCGAAGGCAGCCUCCUGGGAUAACACUGACGCUCAUGCACAGCGUGGGAGCAAACAGGAUUAAGUACCUGGUAGUCCACGCCCUAAACGAUGUCAACUAGCUGUUGGGGCCUUCGGGCCUUGAUGGCGCAGCUAACGCGUGAAGUUGACCGCCUGGGGAAUACGGCCUCAAGAUUAAAACUCAAAGGAAUUGACAGGGACCCGCACAAGCAUUGGAUGAUGUGGAUUAAUUCGGAUACGCGCGAAAACCUUACCUUGACAUGUCUGAAUCCCGAAGAGAUUUAGGAGUUAUCGCAAGAGAACCGGGAACACAGGUGCUGCAUGGCUGUCGUCAACCGUGUCGUGAGAUGUUGGGUUAGAGAUCCACAACGAGCGCAACCCUUGUCAUUAGUUGCUACGAAAGGGCACUCUAAUGAGACUGCCGGUGACAAACUGGAGGAAGGUGGGGAUGACGUCAGGUCCUCAUGGCCACUAUGGGUAGGGCUUACGUCAUACAAUGGUCGGGACAGAGGGUCGCCAACCGCGAGAGAAUGAUCCAGAAGCCGAUCUGUGGUCGGAUCGCAGUCUGCAACUCGACUGCGUGAAGUCGGGAAUCGCUAGUAAUCGCGGAUCAGCAUGUCGCGGUAGGAAUACGUUCCCGGGUCUUGUACACACCGCCCGUCACACCAUGGGAGUGGGUUUUACCAAGAAGUAGCCUAACCGUAAGGAGGCGAUUACCACGGUAGGAUUCAUGACUGGGAGGUGAAGUCGUAACAAGGUAA
rnacentral:rRNA from 1 species